AAUUUUAACUUCUAUUUUCGAUGAUUUUCCAUCUUGCCUGUUUCCGAGGCAGAAUAGUAUUUUUUCCAUGUAUGAGCUU
rnacentral:sRNA from 1 species